rnacentral:misc_RNA from 1 species
GAGAACAUGCCCUCCGGGGUAGAUCUCCCACCCUUUGUUUACAUUACCUUUGUUGCUUUGGCAGGCCCGUCUCCGGGCCGCCGGCUUCGGCUGGUCAGCGCCUGCCAGAGGACCCCAAACUCUUAUUAUUAAUGUCGUCUGAGUACUAUAUAAUAGUUAAAACUUUCAACAACGGAUCUCUUGGUUCU